GACGAACGCUGGCGGCGUGCUUAACACAUGCAAGUCGAGCGGUAAGGCCCUUUCGGGGGUACGACGAGCGGCGAACGGGUGAGUAACACGUGGGUGACCUGCCCUCAGCUCUGGGAUAAGCCUGGGAAACUGGGUCUAAUACUGGAUAUGACUCCACGGUGCAUGUCGUGGGGUGGAAAGCCUUGUGCGGCUGAGGAUGGGCCCGCGGCCUAUCAGCUUGUUGGGUGGGGNGAUGGCCUACCAAGGCGACGACGGGUAGCCGGCCUGAGAGGGCGACCGGCCACACUGGGACUGAGACACGGCCCAGACUCCUACGGGAGGCAGCAGUGGGGAAUCUUGCGCAAUGGGCGAAAGCCUGACGCAGCGACGCCGCGUGAGGGAUGACGGCCU
rnacentral:rRNA from 1 species